UACGUAGGGGGCUAGCGUUGUCCGGAUUUAUUGGGCGUAAAGAGCUUGUAGGCGGUUUGUCGCGUCUGCUGUGAAAAUCCGGGGCUCAACUCCGGACUUGCAGUGGGUACGGGCAGGCUAGAGUGUGGUAGGGGAGACUGGAAUUCCUGGUGUAGCGGUGAAAUGCGUAGAUAUCAGGAGGAACACCGGUGGCGAAAGCGCUCAUCUGGCCCAAUACUGACGCUGAGGCGCGAAAGCUAGGGGAGCAAACGGG
rnacentral:rRNA from 1 species